rnacentral:sRNA from 1 species
CUCGAGACCCAGAUACUGAUAGAUCAGAAUGUGCUUCGGCACCGAGGCGAGCCACUCCUCGCCGCGUGCGACAUGGGUGAUCUUCAUCAGAUGGUCGUCGACGACGUUCGCCAUGU